rnacentral:pre_miRNA from 1 species
ACUGCGCGGCUGAGCCUCCGGCCGGGAGGAAGGGGCGGCACCGGCCGGUGCCGCCCCUUCCUCCCGGCCGGAGGCUCAGCCGCGCAGU